UUUUUUUUUUAAUUUGUUCGUUUUAAUUAUAAAUGUACUUCUUUUUUGCUCUCAAUAAAUUCAGUCUUGGGCUGGGGUUGUGGCUCAGCAGUAGAGUGCUCGCCUCACAUGUGCGAGAUCCUGGGUUCUAUCCUCAGCACCACAUAAAAAUAAAUAAGUGAAAUAAAGGUAUUGUGUCCAACUACAAUAGAUAGAUAGAUAGAUAGAUAGAUAGAUAGAUAGAUAGAUAGAUAAAAUCAGUCUGCUUUGCUUUGGCCCAUCCUCAAAUUCCUUUUUGUGACCACAUCAAGGACCCUCCUGGCCUGAGUUAAGGUCCACCUGCCUUUGGGGGACCUCCACAGGACCCCUGUCCUGGUGACAGCCCCGUUUGUGGUAAUGGCAGCCCAGGAAACCAGUGUUCCUUCUGUGGAGCACACACAGCUCAUGGCCACUUGGCCCAGGGAGGAGCAUGUAUCCUGCAGGCUUCGCCCACCCCCACCUUGCACCUGGAAUGCCAGCCCAGGACUGUGUUCAACAGCACAGCAACAUUUACAGGAAGCAGAGCAGCCAGGCAGGGGCCUGUGGAGAAGACUGGCCAGGAGGGCCAGGACUGGAGCCGAGGUCUGGAACCUUGCAGAGUUCUGAGCCCUGGAAAUACUCUGUACUGUCUCUUGGGCAUCCCCCUCCCCAGGGAUCACCAGGGGCCCAAGAGGAGAGGACAGAAGUGGAGAUCUUCCUGCAUCCUAUAAUCUGGCUCCUCUCCAGGGCACCAUCCUGGUGAAGGGGGUCUCUGCCGAGGCAGCCUAGCGGGGGCCUGAGUGGGGUGCCUUAUACCCACCUCUCAGGAAGCCCAGCUCAGCCUGGCCUUUGAACUGCCUGCCCUGCCUGAUGCAGAUUUCUGUCCUGUUGCUCUUUCUUCCCUGCCCAGCCUGGCUGGGCAGUCUGUGGCCCCUCAUAGCCUGGGUGCUGGCCAGCUCCACUUUCCUUGAGUGACUGGCAAGUACAACAGGGCCUGGCGGGACUCAUCAUCAGACAGGCAACAGGGUAUCUCCACAGAUUCAAAUUACAAAGGAAAGAAUGGUAACUUACAGUGGAGAAACGUAGCAGAUUCCACCUUAACCAAAGGAUGGACACGUCCCAAUAAUGAGACAAACUAAUCCGUGUCCCUCCUGACACAGGGCACUGAGAAGUGUGGCAUCGUUUCUGCAGCAAGUAACUAGUGUGCUUGCAGAGGAGCUAGUGAGGAAGUGGUCCAGAUUAAAGACACCAAAGUCACAUGGCAGCCAGGUGCACUGGAAGGGAAACACUGCUAUAAAGGACAUGUUGGUCAGUCAGGGAAGUCUGAGCAUGCACCAUGUAUUAGAGGAUAAUAUCAAUCCAUGUUAAUUCUCCUUCAUUUGAUCAUUGGGUAGGAAAAUAUGCGCAUCUUUAGGUGAAGAAUGCUAUUGUGGAGGAGAUACAAUACAGUGUCUGCAAUCUCAAAUGGCUCAAAAUGGUAACAACAAUGAGGUCUAUCUGUCUACCUACCUAUCAAUGUUGAGCAAAUGUGGCAAAUGUCAGUAACUGGUAAUCUAACAGCUGGAUGCUUGGUGAAGAAUAGAUGUACUGGAGUUAAUUGUA
rnacentral:lncRNA from 1 species